AAGCGCUUGCAACCAGACUUGCGCGCUGAUGAUCAUCCGGGCUUCUGCCCGGUGCACUCGUCUGCGCUCAGGCCAGCAUCGGUUUCGGUGGUGGGAUAAAGGCCUUGGGAAUGUAGCUCCUCUCGAGGAGUGUUAUAGCCCUCGGUGCAAUGCCGCCUACCGGGACCGAGGACCGCGCUUCGGCUAGGAUGCUGGCGUAAUGGUUGUAAGCGA
rnacentral:rRNA from 1 species